GACGAACGCUGGCGGCGUGCUUAACACAUGCAAGUCGAGCGGUAAGGCCCUUUCGGGGGUACACGAGCGGCGAACGGGUGAGUAACACGUGGGUGACCUGCCCUCAGCUCUGGGAUAAGCCCGGGAAACUGGGUCUAAUACCGGAUAUGACUCCAUGACGCAUGUUGUGGGGUGGAAAGCCUUGUGCGGCUGAGGAUGGGCCCGCGGCCUAUCAGCUUGUUGGUGGGGUGAUGGCCUACCAAGGCGACGACGGGUAGCCGGCCUGAGAGGGCGACCGGCCACACUGGGACUGAGAUACGGCCCAGACUCCUACGGGAGGCAGCAGGUGGGGAAUCUUGCGCAAAUGGGACGAAAGCCUGACGCAGCGACGCCGCGU
rnacentral:rRNA from 1 species